rnacentral:misc_RNA from 1 species
UCCGGUUUGUCACCGGCAGUCUCAUUAAAGUGCCCAACUUAAUGAUGGCAAUUAAUGACAAGGGUUGCGCUCGUUGCGGGACUUAACCCAACAUCUCACGACACGAGCUGACGACAGCCAUGCAGCACCUGUGUAAUGGUUCUCUUGCGAGCACUCUGUGAUCUCUCUCAGAUUCCAUCCAUGUCAAGGGUAGGUAAGGUUUUUCGCGUUGCAUCGAAUUAAUCCACAUCAUCCACCGCUUGUGCGGGUCCCCGUCAAUUCCUUUGAGUUUUAAUCUUGCGACCGUACUCCCCAGGCGGUCAACUUCACGCGUUAGCUGCGUUACCAAGACAAUUAAGUCCCGACAACUAGUUGACAUCGUUUAGGGCGUGGACUAC